rnacentral:ncRNA from 1 species
CCUGCUGAAUUUAAGCAUAUUACUAAGCAGAGGAAAAGAAACUAACCAGGAUUCCCUCAGUAACGGCGAGUGAAGAGGGAAGAGCCCAGCGCCGAAUCCCCAUCUGUCCGUUGGGCGCGGGAAAUGUGAUGUACGUAGGACUGCCUCUCCCUGGUGUCGACCGGGGGCCUGAGUCCUUCUGAUCGAGGCCCAGCCCGUGGAUGGUGUGAGGCCAGUAAUGGCCCCCGUCGCGCCUGGGUCCGGUCUUCUCUGAGUCGGGUUGUUUGUGAAUGCAGCCCAAAGCAGUGGUAAACUCCAUCUAAGGCUAAAACCGUCAUUAGACCGAUAGUUGACAAGUACCGUAAGGGAAAGUUGAAAAAAACUUUGAAGAGAGAGUUCAAGGGGGCAUGAAACCACUGAGAGGUAAACGUGUGGGGUCCUUGCAGUCCAAAGGGAGGAUUCAACCCGACGGGUUCCAGUUGGCCAUCCCAGGACCGGCGGAUCCCCCAGCGGGACUGCCUCCCGGCCGGGCACCCCUUCCUCCCACUGGGCACAUUUCCUCCUCGGCGGUGCGCCGCAACCGGCCCUGGGUCAGCUUGGAAGGGUCCAGGGGGAAGGUCUGUCGACCGGGGAGGACUGUCCUCAGUGCGCCCCAACCGCAUCGCUUCGCCGGGCUGGGGACCGACCCUCGACGGGGCGCCAGGGGUCUGCGACGAAGUCGGCUAACCACCCAACCCCUCUUGAAACACGGACCAAGGAGUCUAACGCACACGCGAGUCAGAGGGUGAGCGAAACCCCGAGGCCCAAUGAAAGUGAAGACCUGCGCCCGCCGGCCGAGGUGGGAUCCCGCCACCACCGGCUAGUCUUGCCCGCUCCAUCAGGGAGGUGGAGCACGAGUGUGUGCGAUAGGACCUGAAAGAUGGUGAACUAUGCCUGGGCAGGACGAAGCCAGAGGAAACUCUGGUGGAGGUCCGUAGUGGUUCUGAAAUGCAAAUCGGUCAUCUGACUUGGGUAUAGGGGCGAAAGACUAAUCGAACCAUCUUGUAGCUUGCUCCCUCCAAAGUUUCCCUCAGGAUAGCUGGCGCUCGACAGUCUCGCAGUUUUACCUGGUAAAGCGAAUGACUAGAGGUCUUGGGGCCAAAACAAUCUCAAACUAUUCUCAAACUUUAAAUGGGUAAGAGCCCGGCUUGCUGGCCUGGAGCCGGGCAUGGAAUGCGAGCCACCUAGUAGGCCACUUUUGGUAAGCAGAACUGGCUCUGUGGGAUGAACCGAACACCGGGUUAAGGUGCCCGAUGCCGAAACUCAUCAGACCUCAGAAAAGGUGUUGGUUGAUAUAGACAGCAGAAAGUCGGAAUCCGCUAAGGAGUGUGUAACAACUCACCUGCCAAAUCAACUAGCCCUGAAAAUGGAUGGUGCUGGACCGUCGGGCCCAUACCCAGCUGUUGCUGGCACCGGGAGCCCGCGGGGGCUAGGCCAUGAUGAGUAGGAGGGCUGCCGUGGUGAGCACAGAAGCCUAGGGCGCGGGCCCGGGUAGAGCCGCCGUGGGUGCAGAUCUUGGUGGUAGCAGCAAAUAUUCAAAUGAGAACUUUGAAGGCCGGAGUGGAGAAGGGUUCCAUGUGAACAGCAGUUGAACAUGGGUCAGUCGGUCCUAAGACGGGGGGAGCGCCGUUCAUAAGGCCUCCAUCGCCCCCUGCCGAUCGAAAGGGAGUCGGGUUCAGAUCCCUGAAUCCGGAGUGGUGGAGACAUGCACCCAGUGCGGUAACGCAUUCGAACCCGGAAAAGCCGGGGCUCCCGUCAGCUGCUCAUUAUCACAGUAAAAAAAGACAUGCUUUUUAGAAUUUGAAUAAUAGGGAAUAUAAUAUGGAAUCGCGUAUCUAAAGAAAUUAAUAAUUAUAUGAUUAUGUGCAUAUACAGUAGCC